CUACGGGGGGCUGCAGUGGGGAAUAUUGGACAAUGGGCGAAAGCCUGAUCCAGCCAUGCCGCGUGUGUGAAGAAGGCCUUCGGGUUGUAAAGCACUUUCAGUGGGGAAGAAAGCCUUGGGGCUAAUACCCUCGAGGAAGGACAUCACCCACAGAAGAAGCACCGGCUAACUCCGUGCCAGCAGCCGCGGUAAUACGGAGGGUGCGAGCGUUAAUCGGAAUUACUGGGCGUAAAGCGCGCGUAGGCGGUCUGAUAAGCCGGUUGUGAAAGCCCCGGGCUCAACCUGGGAACGGCAUCCGGAACUGUCAGGCUAGAGUGCAGGAGAGGAAGGUAGAAUUCCCGGUGUAGCGGUGAAAUGCGUAGAGAUCGGGAGGAAUACCAGUGGCGAAGGCGGCCUUCUGGACUGACACUGACGCUGAGGUGCGAAAGCGUGGGUAGCAAACAGGAUUAGAUACCCUAGUAGC
rnacentral:rRNA from 1 species